CCAGCCUGGCCACAGUGACCCUGACUCUCACCUCGGAAGGAGCCUGUCAUCUCCAGGGCCACCCUGGAGGGACCCGUCUGGAUGAUCUCUUACCAAGCAUUCGCCUCACAGAAGGGCCUUCCCUGGUCUGCCUGGCUCAAGCAGCCCCCAGCCCCGCCUUUGUCCACCACUGUCUCCCUGUCUCCCUGAGCGGUGCGCUCUGACCUGCCGCCUAGAAGCAUCUCUGUGACACAGCAAUGAAGCGCUGGAGAUGCUAGACCUCAAGGGACCAUCCCCUACUUUCCAUCCCACUUGACAAGGAAUGCGACAGGCCGACCACCAAGUGUCCGUGUCACAGAUGAGGAAACUCAGGCUCAGCAAAGGUGACUCACCAGCAUGCUGACGGCAGCAGGAGGGGGCAUGGAUUUCCUGAUCUGGGUGUACC